rnacentral:tRNA from 1 species
GGCUUCGUAGUUCAGCUGGUAGAGCGCUUGCCGCAUUGAUACAUGCUGUUUCUGUCGCUGGUUCGAAUCCAGCUGAAGCCC